rnacentral:rRNA from 1 species
CCUACGGGUGGCAGCAGUGAGGAAUAUUGGUCAAUGGACGCAAGUCUGAACCAGCCAUGCCGCGUGCAGGAAGAAGGCUUUCGGGUUGUAAACUUCUUUUGACAGGGAAGAGUAGAAGCCGGUACCUGUCGAAUAAGCCACGGCUAACUCCGUGCCAGCAGCCGCGGUAAUACGUAGGUGGCAAGCGUUGUCCGGCUUUACUGGUGGUAAAGGGCGUGUAGCCGGGUUGACAAGUCAGUUGUGAAAUCCUGCGGCUUAACCGCAGAACUGCAUUUGAAACUGUUGAUCUUGAGUACUGGAGAGGCAGACGGAAUUCCUAGUGUAGCGGUGAAAGGCGUAGAUAUUAGGAGGAACACCAGUGGCGAAGGCGGUCUGCUGGACAGCAACUGACGGUGAGGCGCGAAAGCGUGGGGAGCAAACAGGAUUAGAUACCCUGGUAGUC